GAUGAAGAACGCAGCGAAAUGCGAUAAGUAAUGCGAAUUGCAGAAUUUCCGUGAAUCAUCGAAUCUUUGAACGCACAUUGCGCCCCUUGGUAUUCCGAGGGGCAUGCCUGUUCGAGCGUCAUUAUAACCCCUCAAGCUCAGCUUGGUGUUGGGGCCUGCUGCACUGGCAGCCCUUAAAAUCAGUGGCGGCGCCAUCUGGCUCUAAGCGUAGUAAUUCUUCUCGCUAUGGAGUCCUGGUGGAUGCUUGCCAUCAACCCCCAAUUUUUCUAUGGUUGACCUCGGAUCAGGUAGGGAUACCCGCUGAACUUAAGCAUAUCAAUAAGCGGAGGA
rnacentral:misc_RNA from 1 species